AUCCAGCUGACGAGUCCCAAAUAGAACGAAAGGCUCAUCCUGGAU
rfam:Schistosoma mansoni strain Puerto Rico chromosome 6, complete genome